rnacentral:misc_RNA from 1 species
ACAACAGUUCCUGACCCACUUACAGAUAAAUCCUCAUAAUCAUAAGAAUUAUCCUGACGUUCAUCGUGAUGUGGAUCCCUAGCAUCUCUACCAAAUGAUAUUUCUGGUGAUUCCUGAAGGGAAUUUCCAGAUGCAGACAACAAAUGGUCACCACUCUCCAUAGUUCUUUGGGUAACCUUAUUGUAUGAAAUUUCUGUUUUCUUUUCUCUAACCUGAGGAGGUCGUACAGCACUUCUUAUGGUUCCAGUACUCUGUGCUCCACCAAUACUGAAGUCCCAUCCAGCAUUUCUGA